rnacentral:lncRNA from 1 species
GCUAUGGCUCUUUGGGUACAGGAUACGCACAGCCAGGUGGUGUAGCUCCAGGAGGAUAUGGAGGAUAUCCACAAGCAUAUCCAGGAGGAUAUGGAGCAGGACUGUCACCACAACAAGGUAAACGCUCUUAAAACCCUUACAACAUCACUGGAAGAUGCAGUAGAAUGAGACUGUUGAGCUCAUUUGGUCACUUGAUUAAUGUGUAUUUCGUGUGCUUCUUUCCUCAGCCAAAGCAGCCAAAUACGGAGGUGGACUGACGGGAUUCCUGGGAGCAGGUUAUCGAGGAGGAGCCGGCUGCCAAGGAAAAUACUGCGGGAGGAGGAGAAAGUAAAGGAUCGCUUGAGAUGUGAAGUGACCUCAAGAAACAUGGUGCUACUGCAUGCUCCAGAAUGUACUUUUGAUACUCAAACAAACAAUCCCAACAUGCACAAGUGUUAUGUUUUGUACUGA